AAUAAGGUUUGACGUGCUGAAGAUUAGGAAAAGUCAUUCCGAGCAUCUGAAAGAGAAUGUGCUGUAUAUCCUGCUGCUAAUCCUGGGGUGGAAAUCAGCUCCUCCUGGCACCUGCUGCCAGGACCUGACACAACUGACUUCAGCUGCAGCAUUUGCAGCCUCCUGGCUGGAUUUUGGGUUUGGGCAUGUCCCAGCUGGAUGUUUGCAAUGACAUAUGAGCCACCAGUGCUGCUCCUUUGCCCAAACUCUGUUGGGGCAGGCGCAGAGCAAAGAGCUGUCCCUGUCCUGGAGUCUCAGACUCACAAGCAGAAAACAAGCAGAAGAACCAACCACCUGCCACUCACUUGGUCACCUCAACAAACCCAGGCUGGGGCUGAGAAUCAAUAGCAACGACGCUGAGCCUUUGUGGUGAGAUCUGGAUGCGGCUUUGGGCUUGAAGCACACGAGAUAUCUGCAGCAGUAGAGUGGGGAGAGCAGGCUGAGUGCUGGGCUCCUGGACCUUGCACCUCCCCAUGUCUGUCCUUGCCACCAAACCUCCAGCACACCCAUCCUUGAUGUCCUGCUCAUUGCCUGACCCUGGUGCUGACCCGGCUGCAGCCAACAGGAGCAUGGCAUAACUGGCACCUCAUCUUCUCCCUUCUCUCUUCCCUCCCGUGUCCCCUCCUGCUCUCGCUGCCUCGCCUCUCUGGGCACCAUCUGCUGGGUUUGGGGCUGUCUCCCCUCACCAACUGUCGUUUGUCCUGGCUGUGGGGGAAAUGUGCUCACGUUUUGCAUCAAAGGACCCCUCAAGCCCUCUCUUUGUGGACCAGCCGGGCUGUCGGAGAGGAGCCAAGCAGUUGGCACUCACUAAGCAACGAGCAUUAAUAAAAGCAUUACACUGGGGUUAGAGCCUCAUUAAAGUACUGCUAACGAACCGUCUGCCUCCCAGAAGCAUGAAAUUUUAGCUAACACUUCCUCCUUCUAAUUUUAUGUACAUUUAAAUCUUUCUGGGCAGGCAAUAUUCAUUUCUCCAGGCUGCUGAGGCAUAAACAAAGCCCGUUUCAGAGGAGCUGCUCUGGAAGCGCCUUGGGGUGCUGUCUCCAGUCCUGCAGCCUCAGCAGCCAGGGUGCAGAACCUCCGGGUGGUCAUGGCAGGGUCCUGGGGCUCAGGGGACACAAACCCCAUCACUCCCGGGGGCACUGGGGGCUCUGGGAUGGAGGCAAGCUCUGGACCCACCACUGCCCCCUUUGCCAGGUGUGUUUUGGGGGACAGAGGUCCCACAGCAGUGCCCCAAGGUGUGUGAGCAGCACCUGAGCUUCGCUGGGCUGGGGCUGGCACUCAGGUGUCCCCAGCAGGGUUUGUACAGGGGGGUUCACUCUGGGGACCCCCCAGCACCCCCAGGGCUGGCUCCAGGUGCUGCUCAGACACCCGGCUGCCCUCGCAGCCCAUUGUAAAGCAAAUUAAUUCUCCCCGCGCCCAGGAAUAGCCGUGCUCUCGAGGCUUGGCAGCGGCAGGGAGGAGAGCAGCUGCUCCGGGACUCACUGCCCCUUUUUUAAAAUUUCAUUUGUCUGAUUUCAGCAGCGUGUGAGGGGCAAGUGAGCCACGGGGACAUCUCACUGGCCAGAAUGCUGGGGCUGCUGUGGGUGAGCUCACAGCUUCUCCUCCUGGGCAUCCUCCUCUCACCUCAGACAGGUGUUUAUGCUGCUCCUCUCACCUCAGACAGGUUUUUACUCUCCUGCUCCCUUUGAAGCACUCCCAGAGGUUUCACUGCCAAAGGACACUGUUUGAUGGAAGAAUCCAUCUCUUGUACCUUACAGGGUAAACACGGUGUUUUUUGACAAUAAAUGCAAUUUUCUUGAAUGGAAACAACCAGUCCAAAUGUCUUCUGCUGGGUUUGGCAGCCUGUUUGGAGGCUCUGCCCUGGGGAGAGGGGUGUCAUGAGAGUAAACUCAGUGUUAAAGUGAUGGUUUGUGCUGCAGAGACUCAGAGCUCGAUGCAGCUGCAGGUUGGUGCUAAGGAUGUUCCCCCACUGCUCUCUGAAUUUUGUGGGGCUGCACUGGCAGCCUUGGGUGUCCUGCCUGGGGCUGGGGGACAGCCACAGCCUGGGGGAGUUAAUGACUCACUGUGAAAUUUCCUCUGCUUUCAGGCAUUACAACACAGAUUUUCCUCUUGUGAAGGUCCCAGCUCUGCAGACUACCUUCACUGCAGGGAAAUUAGUAGGAUGUCUUGGGGCAAAAGGUAAAACUAAAGUACAUCAGUAAAUAUUAGCAGGAUCAGGACCUUAUUCAGGCAUAAAUCAGGUAGCUCCAGCCAACAAUAGAAU